UGUGACCUCAAAUCAGGUAGGACUACCCGCUGAACUUAAGCAUAUCAAUAAGCGGAGGAAAAGAAACUAACAAGGAUUCCCCUAGUAACUGCGAGUGAAGCGGGAAAAGCUCAAAUUUAAAAUCUGGCGGUCUUCUGGCUGUCCGAGUUGUAAUCUAGAG
rnacentral:rRNA from 1 species